rnacentral:rRNA from 1 species
UACGAGGGGGGCGAGCGUUGUUCGGAAUUAUUGGGCGUAAAGGGUGCGUAGGCGGUUUGAUAAGUCUGAUGUGAAAUCUAUGGGCUCAACCCAUAGCCUGCAUUAGAAACUGUCGGGCUUGAGUAUGGGAGAGGUGAGUGGAAUUUCCGGUGUAGCGGUGAAAUGCGCAGAUAUCAGGAGGAACACCGGUGGCGAAGGCGGCAUCCUGGACCGGUAUUGACGCUGAUGCGCGAAAGCCAGGGGAGCAAACGGG